GCACCUGAGCAGCAUCAGCCCUUGAUGUGAUGUCCAGAAGAGCUUAGCUGGCCAAGCAUUCACUUAACAGGAGAUGAGGAUCUUGAGAUCGGUAAUAUAAAACACGGAUGACAAAGGUAGUGACCUUGUCUUAAAAUCAGGAGGAAGGGACUUCCCCGGUGGUUCAGCGGCGAAGACUCCAGGCUCUCGAUACAGGGGGCCUGGUUCAGUCCCUCUCCAGGGAACUAGAUCUCACAGGCCACAGCUGAAGACCCCGUUUUCCACAGCUAAGAUCCGGUGCAGCCAAAUCAAUGAAUAAAUAUAAACACAAAAUCAGAAGGAAAAGCGAGAUUACUUUUAUCUCUCUCAUUCUCAUUGUUGGCCUUCGGCUUUGUCCGCUGGGCAGCAGCCGUACAGAAGAAUCUUAAGGUAGAUCAAGUCGGUACAAAGAAAUGAAAGGCCAGCACAGCUUUGCAGAACUCUAAGACUGUGCUGAUUGGCGGUGUUGAAACCCCUGGCAACCAUGGACGUUCUCUACCGACCAAAGCUGUUUCCUCUCCUUUGCACCAGAAUGAAACACGGAGCCUCCAUGGUGGACUGGCGCUCAUGCUGUCUCCUGGCAACAGUCACGUGCUGACAUGUGAAUUUACGCUGCUGGUAACAAGACUGAGAAAGAGCUCACAGUGCAUUGUUGUAUUUACAAUAGGAACCGGCCCGGGAAUGCGAGUCUCAUUGUCACAGGGCACGGUGCCAAGGCUGUGGGGCAUGAGAUGCGCUUGGCUGUGAUUUCACCCAACGAGGCAGUCAAGCCCUUUGGUCACUCUGGCCCUGACUAACGUGUGUGAGAAGGCACGCAGCAGAGCUUGCCAUCUCCCAUCCUUCCCUUUGACAACGUGUGUGGGCUGCCGGCUCACCUGUAACCCAGAAGACCUGCUGGUAAUAGAUACACAGAUGAAUGGAUGGACCGAGACAUGGACAGAAACACAGCAAGACAGGUGCAGGCCCGAGGCAGGUGCUCAGUUUCACGGGGAGGCGAGGGCACUGGACAGACGCGUUUGGACGCUGUUUGAACAGUUCACCGGUAAACACAGCUACGAGUGAGGUCACAGCUCAGGACCUGGGUCUUGCGUCUCUCGCUCUUCUUGCCCGUGGCAUCCUCUGAGGCCCAGCCUAAACGCCAGCUCACCCCGACGCCUCCAAUCAGGUCCAAUCACUGGCUCUCAGCCCCUCCGUGAUGCACCUCCUAGACGUUUAUUAAAGCGUUUAUUUCACCCAGCCUUGCAUGAGAGUCAGUAAUUAACCUGCCUGUCUCCCCUAAAUGAUAGAUUUCUCGAGGGAGAGAACCGUGUGUUAUUCAUCGCAGUGCCUCGCACGGAGUGGCUGACUGAGCAAAUAUUUGCUGGGGGAUGAAUAACUCAGGGGAUCCCCCGGAGGGCUCACACCCGGGCGCCUGGUUCUGAAGCUGAGUCC
rnacentral:lncRNA from 1 species